AGCCUGAAUCCGAAUUGUCACCGUAUGGUGCGCGUGCCCCUUGAGGGCUAGGAUUUGGGCUUUUU
rnacentral:ncRNA from 1 species